UACGUAGGGGGCGAGCGUUGUCCGGAGUUACUGGGCGUAAAGGGCGUGCAGGCGGUGCGGUAAGUUUAGCGUGACAGUCUCCGGCUUAACUGGAGAAGGCCGCUGAAAACUGCUGGACUUGAGGGCCAGAGAGGGACAUAGAAUUCCGGGUGGAGUGGUGAAAUGCGUAGAUAUCCGGAGGAAUACCAAAGGCGAAGGCAGUGUCCUGGCUGGCAACUGACGCUGAGGCGCGAAAAGCUAGGGGGAGCGAACAGG
rnacentral:rRNA from 1 species